rnacentral:tRNA from 1 species
UCCCUAGUGGCUCAGACAGUAAAGAAUCUGCCUGCAAAGCAGGAGACCCAGGUUCAAUCCCUGGGUCAGGAA